rnacentral:lncRNA from 1 species
ACCCAUCUCCCAAAUUUUAACCCAGAAUUGCUCCUGUCUAAAGGAAAUAGAGGGACAAAGAGUGGAGCAGAGACUGAAGGAAAAGCCAUCCAGAAACUGCCCCACCUGGGGGUCCAUCCCACAUGCAGACACCAAACCUGGACACUAUUGCUAACAGGAUAUAGCUGUCUCCUAAGAGGCUCUGUCAGAUCCUGACCAAUACAGAUGCGGAUGCUUGAAGCCAACCAUCAGACUGAUCACAGGGACCCCAAUGGAGGAGUUAGGGGAAGAACUGAAGGAGCUGAAGGGGCCUUAUCUGGUAUCAGUGGGACAGGAGGCCCUUGGUCCUGUGAAGGCUCGAUGCCCCAGUGUAGAGGAAUGCUAGGGUGGUGAGCCGGGAGUAGAAGCAGGGUAAGGGGGGGAUAAGAUAGGGAGUUUUGGGAGGGGAAACUGGGCAAGGGGAUAACAUUUGAAAUGUAAAUAAAUAAAAUUUCCUAUUUCAAAAAAUAAAGAACAAAAGGAAAAAAAGAAAAAAA